AACUCAUGAUUUGGACAUUUUCUUAGCAUCACUCUAAACCUUUCCCAUGCUUCACAAAAGACUUCAUCUAAUCCUUGUCUAAACAUAGAAAUAUCAGACUUUGAUUU
rnacentral:snoRNA from 1 species